UACGUAGGUGGCAAGCGUUAUCCGGAAUUACUGGGCGUAAAGGGUGCGUAGGUGGUUUCUUAAGUCAGAGGUGAAAGGCUACGGCUCAACCGUAGUAAGCCUUUGAAACUGGGGAACUUGAGUGCAGGAGAGGAGAGUGGAAUUCCUAGUGUAGCGGUGAAAUGCGUAGAUAUUAGGAGGAACACCAGUUGCGAAGGCGGCUCUCUGGACUGUAACUGACACUGAGGCACGAAAGCGUGGGGAGCAAACAGG
rnacentral:rRNA from 1 species